UACCAUACUACCCUUUAUGUUUAAGGUAAGCUAUAUGAAGCUAUUGGGCCCAUAACCCAAAAAAGAUUUUAUCCCUUAAAAAUCAUUUUAUUCUAGUGAAGGUAUUAACCAAAAAUAAUAAUUUGACAUGGAAUUUAUUGAGCACCCAGCAAAAAACAUUAAAUAUCCUAGAAAUAGGAAUUUAGUAUUAUUUUUAAUAUCGAAACAAAUAAGGUGCCAGCAGUUGCGGUCAUACCUUAAUCGAUUUUAAUACCGUUAGAGUGGGAAUAUUUGAUAAAAAAAGAAAAAUUUCAGUGAAAUGUAUUUUACUUAAAAUAAACUAAUAAUCAAACAAAUUUCCCGAAACUUUAAAUUUUAGUAAACUAGGAUUAGAUACCCUAUUAUAGAAAGCAAAAAUAAACAUUCUAAGCACUAAAAUCAUUUAAUGAUUAAAACUUAAAGAUUAUGGCGGCAAUUUAAAUUGUUCAGGGGAACUUACCAGAUAAUAGAUAACCCCCAAGAAAUUCUACUUAACCUAACAGUUUAUAUAUUGCCGUUUAGGAUUUACUUAAAGUAUAUCCUAAAAUUUUAAUUAACAUAUAACAGGUCAUGGUGUAACAUAUGGUUAAGCCUUAAGGUGAGUUACAAUAUUACUUUUUUACAGGUCUAGUUUUAAACAAACUAGGAAUAGAUGGACUUGAGAGUAAAAUGUAUAAUAAUUAACAAUUGAAUAAUAAAUUAGAUUGUGCACAAAUCGCCCGUCACUCUCGUCAUUAAACGAGAUAAGUCGUAACACAGUAGGUGUAAAUGAAUUUGUACCUG
rnacentral:rRNA from 1 species